GGUACUUACCUUAAGGCUACUUACUAAUUUAUUUUUAAAAUAAAAUAAACAAUAAAAUAAAUAUUGCAAUUAAAAAUUUAAUCACUUACAAUCUAAAUAACUGAAUUUCUAAUGAGCCAAAACUAUACAAUGCCCAAGAGUCCAUCUAACCUAAUUUUAACACUUCAUAAUAUCCUAUUAAAUCAUAUAAAACAUUAAAUUAACAUUCAAAUAUAAAUUUCUAUAGAAGAGCAUCAAAUUACAAACAUAUAUGAUUAUUCUAGAUUUUUGAUAGAUUCGUAAUGUUUUUGUAUUUUAAUUUAUAAAUUAGUUAAACUUAUAUAAAAAUUAUACAAAAAUUCCAGAAACAUGCCAAGACAUUAUAUUAAAUUAGAAAAUUAUUAGUUAGUCUAAAAUCUCUACUAAAUAAUUUACAAAAAAUCAUACUUUACAAGUGUUAUGCACCAGAUACGGAUCCGCACUACUUUUUUUAAAUCAAUGUAUCUCACAAAUUAUAAAAGAUAUUUAUAUGAAACCAACGUAAAAAAAAUAGACAAGAUCUUGAACUUAUUUUUAGAAUACAAAAUUGCAAAAAAAGAUGAAGAAUUGAGAGAGAUAUUGAUCCAAAAAUUCAGCUAUCCUGCAAAUCGCAGAGAGAAGACAUCUUAACUUUUAACAACUAUAACUCUCUCAAUUUAAAAGCUUUUUGCACCUUUUUACACUAAAAUCAUUAGAAUUUCAUGAAAAAUACAAAUAUAAUUUUUAUACUUUUUUUUAAAGAAAUAGAAAUACAUGAAAAAUAAUAAAUAACGUGAAGAUAGAAAAUCAACAUGUUUGUAAAUUCCCUUCAAAUUUAUCACAUGAACAUGAAUGAUAUGAACAUAUGAGAUCAUCUAAAGGCAUAUAAACAUGAAAGAACAAAUAUAUGGCAUAUUUGUUGAAUAUUCAUAACUUAUAACACAUACUUUGAAGAAUUCUUGAAAGUUUCUUAAAAAAAAAUGAAGAAACAAAUAAGAAAAAAAGAAAGAGGGAGAUAGGGAAAGUUUGACGAAUUGGAGAGAUAGAGUGAGAGCUUUUUUUUUUCUUGGGUUGUGUUGUUCUCUCUUUUGUGUUAUUUUUUUCUCCUUUAUUUGUCAAGUAUUCAUAUGGUUAUGGUUUAGAGUUCUAGAAAGAUAGGUAAUCCUAUUCCUAGAGGGUUUAAAAGUGCUAACGAGAUUAGGAUAGGAAUAAGGAUAAGUAGAGAUAAAUAAAAAUAAAUAAGGAUAAAAAAUUAAAUAAAAUUAGAUAGGAAUAGGGGAGAGAAUUUGCAUGGGAAAGGGAAGAGAGAAAAGAGGGGGUGUGUGAGGGGAGAGAGAAGACAAAGAGUGCAUGUGGGA
rnacentral:misc_RNA from 1 species